AGAGUUUGAUCAUGGCUCAGGAUUAACGCUAGCGGCAGGCCUAAUACAUGCAAGUCGAACGGCAGCACGGGUAGCAAUACCUGGUGGCGAGUGGCGCACGGGUGCGUAACGCGUAUGCAACUUACCUAUGACUGGGGAAUAGCUCUCCGAAAGGAGGAUUAAUACCGCAUAAUAUCACGAAGCGGCAUCGUUUUGUGAUCAAAACUCCGGUGGUUAUAGAUAGGCAUGCGUGACAUUAGCUAGUUGGUGAGGUAACGGCUCACCAAGGCGACGAUGUCUAGGGGGUCUGAGAGGAUGAUCCCCCACACUGGUACUGAGACACGGACCAGACUCCUACGGGAGGCAGCAGUAAGGAAUAUUGGACAAUGGCCGCAAGGCUGAUCCAGCCAUGCCGCGUGCAGGAUGAAGGUGCUCUGCAUUGUAAACUGCUUUUAUUUGGGAAUAAACCCCUCUACGUGUAGAGGGCUGAAUGUACCGAAAGAAUAAGGGUCGGCUAACUUCGUGCCAGCAGCCGCGGUAAUACGAAGGACCCAAGCGUUAUCCGGAUUUAUUGGGUUUAAAGGGUGCGUAGGCGGAUUAUUAAGUCAGUGGUGAAAGCCUACAGCUUAACUGUAGAACUGCCAUUGAUACUGAUGAUCUUGAGUAUGAUUGAAGUGGGCGGAAUGUGUCAUGUAGCGGUGAAAUGCUUAGAUAUGACACAGAACACCGAUUGCGAAGGCAGCUCACUAAGCCAUAACUGACGCUGAUGCACGAAAGCGUGGGGAGCAAACAGGAUUAGAUACCCUAGUAGUCC
rnacentral:rRNA from 1 species